CGCGCACCCGUCUCGCAAUCAGCAUUUGUGUUGGUUGCGUUGUGGUGUGUGGCGUGGGGCCUGAUCCGGGGAGGUAAGCGUGUUAACAGGUGUGACGCAGGAAGGUAGCCGAGCCAGGCGAUGGUUGUCCUGGUCUAAGCGUGUAGGGUUCCCCGUUGUUAAAUGCGCGGGGUGUGUGCCUGAGGCGUGAUGGGACCCCUUUGGUGGGGGAUUCGGUGAUCCUAUGCUGCCGAGAAAAGCAUCGACGUGAGGUUUUAGCCGCCCGUACCCUAAACCGACACAGGUGAUCAGGUAGAGAAUACUAAGGCGUUCGAGAGAAUCAUGGUUAAGGAACUCGGCAAAAUGCCCCCGUAACUUCGGGAGAAGGGGGGCCCUGAGCGUGAUGCACACAAGCGGUGUGGAGCGUGUAGGGGUCGCAGAGACCAGGGGGAAGCGACUGUUUAUCAAAAACACAGGUCCGUGCGAAGUCGUAAGACGAUGUAUACGGACUGACUCCUGCCCGGUGCUGGAAGGUUAAGAGGACCUGUUAGACGUAUGUCGAAGCGGAGAAUUUAAGCCCCAGUAAACGGCGGUGGUAACUAUAACCAUCCUAAGGUAGCGAAAUUCCUUGUCGGGUAAGUUCCGACCUGCACGAAUGGAGUAACGACUUCCCUACUGUCUCAACCAUGAACUCGGCGAAAUUGCAGUACGAGUAAAGAUGCUCGUUACGCGCAGCAGGACGGAAAGACCCCGUGACCUUUACUAUAGUUUGGUAUUGGUGUUUGGUGCGGCUUGUGUAGGAUAGGUGGGAGACUGUGAACCGGGCACGCUAGUGUUUGGGGAGUCGUUGUUGAAAUACCACUCUGGUCGCUCUGGAUGUCUAACUUCGGCCCGUGAUCCGGGUCAGGGACAGUGCCUGAUGGGUAGUUUAACUGGGGCGGUUGCCUCCUAAAGAGUAACGGAGGCGCCCAAAGGUUCCCUCAGCCUGGUUGGCAAUCAGGUGUUGAGUGUAAGUGCACAAGGGAGCUUGACUGUGAGAGUGACGGCUCGAGCAGGGACGAAAGUCGGGACUAGUGAUCCGGCGGUACAUUGUGGAAUGGCCGUCGCUCAACGGAUAAAAGGUACCUCGGGGAUAACAGGCUGAUCUUGCCCAAGAGUCCAUAUCGACGGCAUGGUUUGGCACCUCGAUGUCGGCUCGUCGCAUCCUGGGGCUGGAGUUGGUCCCAAGGGUUGGGCUGUUCGCCCAUUAAAGCGGCACGCGAGCUGGGUUCAGAACGUCGUGAGACAGUUCGGUCCCUAUCCGCUGCGCGCGUUGGAAAUUUGAGAAGGUCUGUCCUUAGUACGAGAGGACCGGGACGGACGAACCUCUGGUGUGUCAGUUGUUCCGCCAGGAGCAUGGCUGAUUGGCUACGUUCGGGAGAGAUAACCGCUGAAAGCAUCUAAGCGGGAAGCUUGCUUCGAGAUGAGAUUUCCUUCCAACUUUGUUGGUGUAGGUGCCCAGGAGAU
rnacentral:rRNA from 1 species